UUGAACGCUGGCGGCAGGCCUAACACAUGCAAGUCGAACGGUAACAGGAAACAGCUUGCUGUUUCGCUGACGAGUGGCGGACGGGUGAGUAAUGUCUGGGAAACUGCCUGAUGGAGGGGGAUAACUACUGGAAACGGUAGCUAAUACCGCAUAACGUCGCAAGACCAAAGAGGGGGACCUUCGGGCCUCUUGCCAUCAGAUGUGCCCAGAUGGGAUUAGCUAGUAGGUGGGGUAACGGCUCACCUAGGCGACGAUCCCUAGCUGGUCUGAGAGGAUGACCAGCCACACUGGAACUGAGACACGGUCCAGACUCCUACGGGAGGCAGCUGUGGGGAAUAUUGCACAAUGGGCGCAAGCCUGAUGCAGCCAUGCCGCGUGUAUGAAGAAGGCCUUCGGGUUGUAAAGUACUUUCAGCGGGGAGGAAGGGAGUAAAGUUAAUACCUUUGCUCAUUGACGUUACCCGCAGAAGGAGCACCGGCUAACUCCGUG
rnacentral:rRNA from 1 species